rnacentral:rRNA from 1 species
UACGUAGGGCGCGAGCGUUGUCCGGAAUUAUUGGGCGUAAAGAGCUCGUAGGCGGUGUGUCGCGUCGGCCGUGAAAACCUGCAGCUUAACUGUGGGCUUGCGGUCGAUACGGGCAUCACUGGAGUUCGGCAGGGGAGACUGGAAUUCCUGGUGUAGCGGUGAAAUGCGCAGAUAUCAGGAGGAACACCGGUGGCGAAGGCGGGUCUCUGGGCCGAUACUGACGCUGAGGUGCGAAAGCGUGGGGAGCAAACAGG